UACAGAGGGGGCAAGCGUUGUUCGGAAUUACUGGGCGUAAAGGGCGCGUAGGCGGCCUUCUAAGUCGAACGUGAAAUCCCCGGGCUCAACCCGGGAACUGCGUCCGAGACUGAAAGGCUUGAAUCCGGGAGAGGGAUGUGGAAUUCCAGGUGUAGCGGUGAAAUGCGUAGAUAUCUGGAGGAACACCGGUGGCGAAGGCGGCAUUCUGGACCGAAACUGACGCUGAGGCGCGAAAGCGUGGGGAGCAAACAGG
rnacentral:rRNA from 1 species